UUACCCAUGCAAGUCGAGCGGAUGAAAGGAGCUUGCUCCUGGAUUCAGCGGCGGACGGGUGAGUAAUGCCUAGGAAUCUGCCUGGUAGUGGGGGACAACGUUUCGAAAGGAACGCUAAUACCGCAUACGUCCUACGGGAGAAAGCAGGGGACCUUCGGGCCUUGCGCUAUCAGAUGAGCCUAGGUCGGAUUAGCUAGUUGGUGAGGUAAUGGCUCACCAAGGCGACGAUCCGUAACUGGUCUGAGAGGAUGAUCAGUCACACUGGAACUGAGACACGGUCCAGACUCCUACGGGAGGCAGCAGUGGGGAAUAUUGGACAAUGGGCGAAAGCCUGAUCCAGCCAUGCCGCGUGUGUGAAGAAGGUCUUCGGAUUGUAAAGCACUUUAAGUUGGGAGGAAGGGUUGUAGAUUAAUACUCCGCAG
rnacentral:rRNA from 1 species